AUUGAACGCUGGCGGCAGGCCUAACACAUGCAAGUCGGGCGAGCGGGGGACGGGUGAGUGAUGUAUGGGGAUCUGCCUGAUGGCGGGGGAUAACUACUGGAAACGGUAGCUAAUACCACAUACCAUGAGAUGAACCAGUAUGGGAUUCGCUUGGAGGUGAGGUACAGGCUCACCUAGGCGACGAUCCCUAGCUGGUCGGAGAGGAUAGUCAGCCACACUGUGUCUGAUACACGGCCCAGACUCCUACGGGAGGCAGCAGUGGGGAAUAUUGCACAAGGGGCGCAAGCCUGAUGCAACCAUGCCGCGUAUAUGAAGAGGGCCGUAGGGUUGUAAAGUACUUUCAGCGGGGAGGCGUUACCCGCAGAAGAAGCACCGGCUAACUCCGUGCCAGCAGCCGCGGUAAUAC
rnacentral:rRNA from 1 species